CCCUGAGUCAUCACCCGUUGUGUCACGCGGGCUUCCCUGGGUGGCCUGGCCCUUUCCCACAGCUUCUGCACCAUCAGCUCCGGCUAUGGUGACUCUGGCUGCCCUCAUGGCCUUCUUCCCCGCCCCCACCUCCAGAGUUGCACACAUCUGAGAGGCCGCCGACAGCACUGGCUAGGAAAUUCCUCCUCACCUCCGCCAGGCCUCUCCUUUGGGGCACUUAUGGGCCGUGUUUGGUGUUUAUCACUUACGUCUGUGAAUCUUCAUCUCUGAUGAAUGUCUGUCACCAUCAAAACGACAGUGUCUCCCUAAGUUGCGCAGGCUGUGCUUGAAUUUGUGAUCCUCCUGCCUCAGCCUCCCAGAGUGCUGUGAUUACAGUUCUGAUGGACACUCCUAUACUACAGGGUCAGAGGGAUUCUGGGAUGGUGAACAUAUCCAUGUCAACAGAGGGAUGCACCCAAGAGCUGCAGGGACAGAAGCUCCUGCACUUGGGGCCCCUCCAGAUCUUGCCCUAUGUAUCUGUUCAUCUGGCUGUUGUUUUGCGUCCUUUAAAAUAUUCUUUGUAAAUCAGCAAAGGAAGUGUUCUAUUGUCCUGGGUCCUAUGAGCCCUGCAGCAAAUUGUAAACCCAAGAAGGGAGUAGUAGGACUCCACUUCCCCACAUCUGGUGUCAGAAAUAAAAUAAUGAGAGUGGUGUAAACACAGAAAGAAA
ensembl:lncRNA